rnacentral:rRNA from 1 species
AGAGUUUGAUCCUGGCUCAGAAUCAACGCUGGCGGCGCGCCUAACACAUGCAAGUCGAGCGAGAAAGGGAGCAAUCCCAAGUAAAGCGGCGUACGGGUGAGUAACACGUAGGUAUCCACCUCUUUGUGGGGAAUAACUCGGGGAAACCUGAGCUAAUACCGCAUAAGUCCGAGAGGAGAAAGCAGCAAUGCGCUGAGAGAGGAGCCUGCGGCCGAUUAGCUAGAUGGCGGGGUAAUGGCCCACCAUGGCGACGAUCGGUAGCCGGCCUGAGAGGGCACACGGCCACACUGGCACUGAAACACGGGCCAGACUCCUACGGGAGGCAGCAGUGGGGAAUCUUGCGACAAUGGAGGAAACUCUGAUGCAGCGACGCCGCGUGGACGACGAAGCCCUUCGAGGGUGUAAAGUCCUUUCGACCGGAACGAUAGUGACGGUACCGGUGGAAGAAGCUGCGGCUACUACGUGCCGAGCAGCCGCGGUANUACGUAGGCGGCAGGCGUUGUUCGGAAUUACUGGGCGUAGAGAGUUCGUAGGCGGUGCGGCNAGUUCGGUGUGAAAUCUCCCGGCUCACCUGGGAGGGUGCGCUGGUUNCUGCCGUGCUCGAGUUUAGGAGAGGUUGGCUGAAUUCCUGUGUGUACCCGGUGGACUUGCU